rnacentral:rRNA from 1 species
UACGGAGGGUGCAAGCGUUACUCGGAAUUACUGGGCGUAAAGGGCGCGUAGGCGGUUCGAUUAGUCAGAUGUGAAAGCCCGAGGCUUAACCUCGGAAGUGCAUUUGAAACUGUCGAACUUGAGUAUGGGAGAGGGAAGUGGAAUUCCUGGUGUAGAGGUGAAAUUCGUAGAUAUCAGGAGGAACACCGGUGGCGAAGGCGACUUCCUGGACCAAUACUGACGCUGAGGCGCGAAGGCGUGGGGAGCAAACAGGAUUAGAUACCCCCGUA